rnacentral:rRNA from 1 species
CGUAGGGAGCAAGCGUUGUCCGGAUUUAUUGGGCGUAAAGAGCUCGUAGGCGGCUUAGAAAGUCGGGUGUGAAACCUCCAGGCUCAACCUGGAGACGCCACUCGAUACUUCUAUGGCUUGAGUUCGGUAGGGGACCAUGGAAUUCCUGGUGUAGCGGUGAAAUGCGCAGAUAUCAGGAGGAACACCGAUGGCGAAGGCAGUGGUCUGGGCCGAUACUGACGCUGAGGAGCGAAAGCGUGGGGAGCGAACAGGAUUAGAUACCCUGGUAGUCCACGCCGUAAACGUUGGGCACUAGGUGUGGGAGGUAAUCAACGCCUUCCGUGCCGUAGCUAACGCAUUAAGUGCCCCGCCUGGGGAGUACGGUCGCAAGACUA